CUAUUGGUCGCUCCAUUACUCCAGGUUCCUAUGCUUACUUUCCACUUUCGACAAUCGUCAUCUUCUUUCCCCUUUCAGGCUUUCACCUGUAAGACAAUAGCCCGCUUGUUACUUUUAGGCAGCCAUUCACAGAUUGCUUAACCAGUGAAAUCUGUCAUGGAUUGAUGCUAUUUAGAAUCUGUACUACGUUUUUCGGCUCUCCCUCUGCCCCCAUUGUUCAUUUAUGAGUUCUGCAGUAGUUUCGUUUGCUGUAAUAAAUGCUUAUACUAGUUCCUAAAUGCCUAAAACUUCAGAGCAAAGGGCUUUCCGAUGGAUUUGAUUUUACCCUCGGUAUUCCCGCCACAGUUAGUGUUUAGGAUAAAACAAAAUAUUUGCAUCUAAUAAUCUAGUGAGAACCAGCAACUUCCAUCAUUCCAUGGGUCUUUGUUGGAGUUCACAUAUUCUCAUUGGGAAUUAUAUCCACAAGAAUUUGACACAUGGCCCAUCAGAAGAUGGCCUUACUAUGUUUUGUAGCAUGCAUCACUGUUCUGUCUUUUAUGUCAAUUGUUCAGUGGUUCAAAACACACAAGCGCGAGAAUUUAGAAUUUCACCUUCUAACGCAACAACUAUUAAUCUGAUUUUAGAAUGUUCUUCCACUUUUUUACCUAACUGUUCACAUGGUAUGAUUAGUGUGACCUAUUCAGAGAAUGCAGAGCUGAUUGCAUCUUGUCUUAUCUUUCUUUACUCUUCUUCUGGCUGGUGAUUUACUGUUCAUGCUUGUUAGAGUGUGUGUUAUGUAUGUGUAGGUGGGCUGGCA
rnacentral:misc_RNA from 1 species